rnacentral:rRNA from 1 species
UACAGAGGGGGCAAGCGUUGUUCGGAAUUACUGGGCGUAAAGGGCGCGUAGGCGGCCUGCUAAGUCGAACGUGAAAUCCCUGGGCUCAACCCAGGAACUGCGUCCGAUACUGGUUGGCUUGAAUCCGGGAGAGGGAUGUGGAAUUCCAGGUGUAGCGGUGAAAUGCGUAGAUAUCUGGAGGAACACCGGUGGCGAAGGCGACAUCCUGGACCGGUAUUGACGCUGAGGCGCGAAAGCCAAGGGAGCAAACGGG